AGAACGACUCUCGGCAACGGAUAUCUCGGCUCUCGCAUCGAUGAAGAACGUAGCAAAAUGCGAUACUUGGUGUGAAUUGCAGAAUCCCGUGAACCAUCGAGUUUUUGAACGCAAGUUGCGCCCGAAGCCAUUAGGUUGAGGGCACGCCUGCCUGGGCGUCUCGU
rnacentral:rRNA from 1 species